UACGUAGGGGGCAAGCGUUGUCCGGAUUUAUUGGGCGUAAAGAGCGUGUAGGCGGCCAGAUAAGUCUGCUGUGAAAACUCGAGGCUCAACCUCGAGCUGUCGGCGGAAACUAUUUGGCUAGAGUCCGGAAGAGGAAAGCGGAAUUCCUGGUGUAGCGGUGAAAUGCGCAGAUAUCAGGAGGAACACCAGUGGCGAAGGCGGUGCUCUGGGCCGGAACUGACGCUGAGGAGCGAAAGCGUGGGGAGCAAACAGG
rnacentral:rRNA from 1 species